AGAGUUUGAUCCUGGCUCAGGACGAACGCUGGCGGCGUGCUUAACACAUGCAAGUCGAACGGAAAGGCCCUUCGGGGUACUCGAGUGGCGAACGGGUGAGUAACACGUGGGUGAUCUGCCCUGCACUUUGGGAUAAGCCUGGGAAACUGGGUCUAAUACCGAAUAUGACCAUGCGCCUCCUGGUGUGUGGUGGAAAGCUUUUGCGGUGUGGGAUGGGCCCGCGGCCUAUCAGCUUGUUGGUGGGGUAAUGGCCUACCGAGGCGACGACGGGUAGCCGGCCUGAGAGGGUGACCGGCCACACUGGGACUGAGAUACGGCCCAGACUCCUACGGGAGGCAGCAGUGGGGAAUAUUGCACAAUGGGCGCAAGCCUGAUGCAGCGACGCCGCGUGAGGGAUGACGGCCUUCGGGUUGUAAACCUCUUUCAGCACAGACGAAGCGCAAGUGACGGUAUGUGCAGAAGAAGGACCGGCCAACUACGUGCCAGCAGCCGCGGUAAUACGUAGGGUCCGAGCGUUGUCCGGAAUUACUGGGCGUAAAGAACUCGUAGGUGGUUUGUCGCGUUGUUCGUGAAAACUCACAGCUUAACUGUGGGCGUGCGGGCGAUACGGGCAGACUUGAGUACUGCAGGGGAGACUGGAAUUCCUGGUGUAGCGGUGGAAUGCGCAGAUAUCAGGAGGAACACCGGUGGCGAAGGCGGGUCUCUGGGCAGUAACUGACGCUGAGGAGCGAAAGCGUGGGGAGCGAACAGGAUUAGAUACCCUGGUAGUCCAA
rnacentral:rRNA from 1 species